GUAACACUUGCAAGAGGUAGAUUAUGCGUGGAAGAGCAUUCAUUUUGAGAAUGUUAAUUCGGCAUAGUCAGCCAAAUUGGGCAGAUUCCAGUUUGUAAGGACGCGGGAAACAUCCCUUAGUAGAGUUGGGAAAUUUAGGUCAUAUAGCCAGGCUAAGGAGUGUGGGAGUAUUACUCCUAGAUAUAUUUGAUGGCCUCAGGGGCCCAUGUGAAGGAAAACUGCUGUGUGAGGUGU